rnacentral:rRNA from 1 species
CUAAACCUUAAAUAUGUCAAGGAUACAGCCGUUGUAUUUAAGGGGUUGAGGGACAGAGUAGUGAAGAACUGUAAGAUAUUCAAUAUAGUGUAUUGAUGAAUUGGAAUUGUCUGGAAAGGCGAACCGUAGAAGGUGAAAGUCCUGUACAAGUAAAUCCUUACACAUAUAACUCUGCUCCCAAGUAACAUGGAACACGAGGAAUUCUGUGUGAAUCUGUGAGGACCAUAUCUCAUAAGGCUAAAUACUCUUACUAACCGAUAGCGCAUAGUACCGUGAGGGAAAGGUGAAAAGAACCCCUGGAGGGGAGUGAAAUAGAACCUGAAAUUGUGUGCUUACAAGCGGUCAGAGCCAGCAAUGGUGAUGGCGUGCCUUUUGGAGAAUGAUCCUGCGAGUUACGUUAAACGGCGAGGUUAAGUAUAACGGAGCCGAAGGGAAACCAAGUCUUAAUAGGGCGAUUUAGUCGUUUGGCGUAGACGCGAAACCUGGUGAUCUAAACCUGUCCAGGAUGAAGCUGUGGUAAGACACAGUGGAGGUCCUAACCCACCGCCGUUGAAAAGUUGGGGGAUGAGGUAGGUUUAGGGGUGAAAAGCCAAUCGAACCAGGAGAUAGCUCGUUCUCUCCGAAAUGCAUCUAGGUGCAGCCUUGAGUGUUCAAUUAUGGGGGUAGAGCACUGAAUGAUCUAGGGGGCAUAUUGCUUACUGAAAUCAAUCAAACUCCGAAUACCAUAAUUUAUAGCUCAGGAGUGAGACUAUGGGAGUUAACUUCCAUUGUCAAAAGGGAAACAACCCAGACCACCAGCUAAGGUCCCUAAUUAUAACUAAGUGGGAAAGGAGGUGGAGAUUCACAAACAACUAGGAGGUUGGCUUAGAAGCAGCCAUACCUUUAAAGAGUGCGUAAUAGCUCACUAGUCGAGAGUCUCUGCGCCGACAAUGUAACGGGGCUAAGUUAUAAACCGAAGCUGUGGAAUCCUUUUGGAUUGGUAGGAGAGCGUUCUGUAGGCCGUUGAAGAAGAAGGGUAACCGACUUUGGAGGUAUCAGAAGUGAGAAUGCAGGAAUAAGUAGCGAGAAAGGGGGCGAGAAUCCCCCUCGCCGGAAGACCAAGGUUUUCAGGGUAAAGCUUGUCUUCCCUGAGUAAGCCGGGACCUAAGCCCAGGCUAUAAUGCGUAGGCGAAUGGAAAACAGAUUAAUAUUUCUGUGCCAGUCAUUUAUUGUGAUGGAGGGACGCAGAAGGGUAUGUGCGCGGACGAUCGGUUGUGUCCGUAGAAGUAUGUAGGGUGACUUAGUAGGUAAAUCCAUUAAGUUAUAUCUGAGGUAUGAUAUACAGUCGUAAGAUGAAUGUGCAAAUCCCACGCUGCCAAGAAAAGCUUCUAACGUUAAUAUUUGACUGCCCGUACUGUAAACCGACACAGGUGGUCAGGAUGAGAAAUCUAAGGCGGACAGGCUAACUCUCGUUAAGGAACUCUGCAAAAUAACCUCGUAACUUCGGGAGAAGAGGAGCCCUUGUGUGUUAGUAUCCAUGCGAUACAAAGCGCUCGAGGGUCGCAGUGAAGAGGCUCAAGCAACUGUUUAACAAAAACACAGGUCUAUGCUAAGCUGGAAGGCGAUGUAUAUGGGCUGACACCUGCCCAGUGCUGGAAGGUUAAGAGGAGGAGUGAGAGCUCCGAAUUGAAGCCCCAGUGAACGGCGGCCGUAACUAUAACGGUCCUAAGGUAGCGAAAUUCCUUGUCGGGUAAG